rnacentral:misc_RNA from 1 species
AACUUUCAACAACGGAUCACUUGGCUCUCGCAUCGAUGAAGAACGCAUCGAAAUGCGAUAAGUAAUGUGAAUUGCAGAAUUCAGUGAAUCAUCGAAUCUUUGAACGCACCUUGCGCUCCUUGGUAUUCCGAGGAGCAUGCCUGUUUGAGUGUCAUUAAAUUCUCAACCUUAUCAGUUUAUUUCUGAUAGUGGCUUGGAUGUGGGGGUUUUCUUGCUGGCUGAGGUCAGCUCCCCUUAAAUGGAAUAGGCGGGGGCCCGUGUGGAAUUGUUUAUUGUGGUAUAAAUUACUUCGGCCAGGGAGGGCCUCCAACGGCAUGGCUUUUACCCUCCGGUAAAUCCGGCAAAACAAUGGCCAAUUGAACUUAAAAUAAGUUGGGCUUCCCGCUGAACUUAAGCAUAUCAAUAAGCGGAGGCU